rnacentral:snRNA from 1 species
AGCUGUUGUGAUACUUUUGUAUUUUAAAAAAAUCAGUUCUUAUCUGUUUAAUAUCUGAUAUAUCAUCAAUGUGAGCACUUUCUAUUGAACAGAUUCUUGAAACUGAGAGAUGGACUUGGAGCUUGCUCCACCCGCUCCAGACAUUGGACUGGUAUCACAGUGCCUCCAACAACAGUCCACCUCCC